GGCUUUGUCUGUAUCUUUACUUUUGAAACCAAAGUCUACUUGGUUAAAGCUAUUACAGCAGAUUCUUUACAUCUUUGUUAACAUUCAUUUUCUGGGUCCAGGAGGAAACGCACUUUCUUUGGAAUGAAUUUUGAAUAGAUUUCCUGUUCAGAGGAAUCUUUGUCAUGUUCAGGUAUUCCCUAAAAGUGAAGGGAACUUACAGUCAUUAACCAUUUGCCCCAUGGUUUAACCCUAUGUAGCCCAGGCUACAUGUAUUUUGAAAUUUCAUAGACAGUGGGUUCUCAUCAAUUUUUUUCGAUGAAAGUUGUCGUCUCUAUUUUCAGUCAUAAAUACAUGAAAUCAAUAGUUUGUAGACAGCAAAGGUAAAAAUGAUGAUACAUUUAUUAAUUUUGGCUACAUACAGAAUUUGCAUUGAAAUUGUCAAAUGAAGUUACCUUUUUAGCAAUUUUGGAUCUGAUAUGCACUUACAAAACGUUGCCUAACUUUGCAAUCGCAUACCAUCACGUUGUGAAUUUUGUCCCAAAAGUUGCAUGAGAAAAAAUUCAUUGUCUUGUGUCCUGAACUUUACAGAUUUAUUACAAAAAAUAUCA